rnacentral:rRNA from 1 species
UACGUAGGGAGCGAGCGUUAUCCGGAAUUAUUGGGUGUAAAGCGUGUGUAGGCGGGAAAUUAAGUCUAAGGUCUAAGCCCGGAGCUCAACUCCGGUUCGCCUUAGAAACUGAUUUUCUUGAGUGUGGUAGAGGCAAACGGAAUUUCUAGUGUAGCGGUAAAAUGCGUAGAUAUUAGAAGGAACACCAGUGGCGAAGGCGGUUUGCUGGGCCACUACUGACGCUGAGACACGAAAGCGUGG